GAACCUGGGGGCCUGCUGUAGUGUAUCGAAGUAUGGCUCUAAUGGUGGCAAAGGGAAAGUGCAAUACUGCAUCUAGGCAGCAGGAAAAUCAAUAUGGGUCUGCCGUAUGGGUUUAGUAUCGAUCAGUCAAUAAAGGACUUCACUGACCAAAUGAUUAAAUGAUGUGGAAACCACGUCUAAUAAUAUAACGCCACUCAAGGGGAUAUGAUUUAAAAAGCAAGUGAUUGAGUGAUGUGCAACUGUUCGUGAGGUCAUCAUGAGCUAUCGUUGAGAAGUACUCCAACUACUCCAACUGAGACCCCUGGAUGUCUUAUUUUCCAGGGUUGAGUUAGCAGUUGAGCAGGAGGAGGUUGUGUUCUACUUUGAGGAGGUGCUUAUUUACAUGGCUGACACACUGGGAUCACCUUCAAAGUGGCUCGUAAUGAGACGGGACGACUGAGGAGGGAGGCCGGCCGCUGCAUGUGGUGCAGGGGACGAUCGGGGAAUGUACUGAAUUAUAAAUGAGUUUUCUGCACAAGAAAUGUGACAGUUAGCUUUAAUUCCCCGUUUAGCCGGAAUAGGUUUAGACAAGACUGUGCUAACUAAUCAAUAGAGCCCUGCCGCAAAUGUUCUCGGUGCUCCCCUGUUCCUCAGACAGGCCAAGGCUCGGAUGCAAUGAACUCUACCCAGCUCUGAUUUGCCUUGGUGUAACUCUGUACGGCCAUGACUUUUAUGUAUUUUUGGGUCUGAAGUUAAAGAGGUAAGCACUUCACAUCAUGAAUAUGGAUUUUCCAGAGCAGAUCUCACUGAAGGAAUUUCCUCUGGUCUGCACUGAAGCUGAACUUUAGCUGAUCCUGAUCUUUGUCAGAUUAAAGUACUGAAAGGCAAAUAAAAUGAUCGCACACAUUAAUUAGUAAAAUUAGACAUGAACUCCUAUAGUUUCUAAAUUUCAACAGAGGUACUUUACUAGAACCAAAGUCAGUCUGUAGCCAUCUUGUAACGCCGUGGGCAGCUGUUGUCUACGGAUAUACAGCUCCUAUCUGCUUAAAUGGGAAACCAAAAUCUUCAAAAGUGUUUUUAAGUAUUACGUUUUGAUAACCUAUGCAAUAAAUAAGC